rnacentral:rRNA from 1 species
UACGUAGGGUGCGAGCGUUGUCCGGAAUUACUGGGCGUAAAGAGCUCGUAGGCGGUCUGUCGCGUCGGAUGUGAAAACCCAGGGCUCAACCCUGGGCCUGCAUUCGAUACGGGCAGACUAGAGUGUGGCAGGGGAGACUGGAAUUCCUGGUGUAGCGGUGAAAUGCGCAGAUAUCAGGAGGAACACCGGUGGCGAAGGCGGGUCUCUGGGCCAAUACUGACGCUGAGGAGCGAAAGCGUGGGGAGCGAACAGG